rnacentral:rRNA from 1 species
CCCUUAGAUGUCCUGGGCUGCACGCGCGCUACACUGGAAGUUACGGAUUGAGAUACUACCUUGUCCGAAAUGGUCCGGGUAAUCACCUAAAAGCUUGUCAUAAUUGGAAUGGAUUAUUGUAACUAGUAAUCCUGAACGAGGAAUUCCUAGUAAGUCCCAGUCAACAGCUGGUACUGAUUACGUCCCUGCCCUUUGUACACACCGCCCGUCGCUACUACUGAUUGGACGUUUAAGCAAGAUUUUUAAACACUGACAGUGUGUGGUUCACGCUAUACUACAGUGAGAAGAAGAAGAUCGAGCUUACUUGUCUAGAGGAAGUAAAAGUCGUAACA